rnacentral:snRNA from 1 species
AUACUUACCUGGCAGGGGAGGCACCAUGAUCAGACAGAACGUUUUCCCAGGGUGAGCCUUUCUAGGUGUGCUGACCCCUGCAGUUUCCCAAAGUGCAGGAAACUUGGCUGAAAAAUAUGUGGUAGUGGGGGACUGCGUUCACGCUUUCCCCUG